GCCUAGUUAGCUUAGUUGGUAGUGCGUCUGCCUUGUAAGCGCUAGGCCGCGGGUUCGAUUCCCGCCCCAGAUA
rnacentral:tRNA from 1 species